GAUGAACGCUGGCGGCGUGCCUAAUACAUGCAAGUCGAGCGAAUGGAUUAAGAGCUUGCUCUUAUGAAGUUAGCGGCGGACGGGUGAGUAACACGUGGGUAACCUGCCCAUAAGACUGGGAUAACUCCGGGAAACCGGGGCUAAUACCGGAUAACAUUUUGAACCGCAUGGUUCGAAAUUGAAAGGCGGCUUCGGCUGUCACUUAUGGAUGGACCCGCGUCGCAUUAGCUAGUUGGUGAGGUAACGGCUCACCAAGGCAACGAUGCGUAGCCGACCUGAGAGGGUGAUCGGCCACACUGGGACUGAGACACGGCCCAGACUCCUACGGGAGGCAGCAGUAGGGAAUCUUCCGCAAUGGACGAAAGUCUGACGGAGCAACGCCGCGUGAGUGAUGAAGGCUUUCGGGUCGUAAAACUCUGUUGUUAGGGAAGAACAAGUGCUAGUUGAAUAAGCUGGCACCUUGACGGUACCUAACCAGGAAG
rnacentral:rRNA from 1 species